rnacentral:rRNA from 1 species
UACGUAGGGGGCAAGCGUUGUCCGGAUUUACUGGGCGUAAAGAGCGUGUAGGCGGCCAAGCAGGUCCGUUGUGAAAACUGGAGGCUUAACCUCCAGACGUCGACGGAAACCGCGUGGCUAGAGUCCGGAAGAGGAGAGUGGAAUUCCUGGUGUAGCGGUGAAAUGCGCAGAUAUCAGGAAGAACACCAAUGGCGAAGGCAGCUCUCUGGGACGGUACUGACGCUGAGACGCGAAAAGCGUGGGGAGCAAACGGG